GUUAAUUGGGUGGCGGCAGGCGGGGUAAUGCUGAGGGGGCAAGGGUUAUCCGGAAUGUGUGGGUGUAAAGGGUGGGUAGGUGGCGAGUUAAGUUAGAUGGGAAAGCCCGGGGCUCAACCGCGGGACUGCAUUUAAAACUGGCUUGCUAGAAUACAGGAGAGGUAAGUGGAAUUCCUAGUGUAGCGGUGAAAUGCGUAGAUAUUAGGAGGAACACCAGUGGCGAAGGCGACUUACUGGACUGUUAUUGACACUGAGGCACGAAAGCGUGGGGAGCGAACAGGAUUAGAUACCCCGGUAGUC
rnacentral:rRNA from 1 species